rnacentral:lncRNA from 1 species
GCAGGUGGCUUUCAGGGAGAGCUGUGAAUGCUGGUGUUUACAAAAACAAGUACAAAUACCAUAGCAUGCUUAAAGUUCUCGAGAACAGUUGAGGUCAUAGACUUAUUUCUUCUUCCCUUUCUCCGUGUGGUAGGGUCUCCCCACCUCCCUCAGCGUCCCCAGAGUCCACCCAGACUUCCUAGGUUUUUGUCCCAGUUUUAAUUUCCCCACCGCCUUCUCUUGCUUGUAUCUGCAUUGAUCAUUUGGAGCCGGAGAAGGAACCAGAUCCUAGGCAUCUGUAUACCCUCUCCACCCCGCGUGUGGAGUAAAAAUGGCCAUUUUACGUAAUGUGGCUUUCUUUUCUAUCUAUUUCUUUCAGCAAAUCUCAGGCAAGAGCUUUGAUUUUUCCAGGAAGCCACCCUAAAGAGUCAUACCCUUGUGCUUCUUCCCCGCCCCUACCCCCGCCCCCGCCCCCGCCCCUUGUAUAAAGUCAACAGUUUAAGUUCAGGAUGCUGUUGUCCCGCCCACCAGAGGAUGCUGGCUUAGAGUUUUUUUGCAGUGUGCAAAGCACGUGCCACCGGUGGUACUCAAGGCGAUUUCUGAUUUAAAAAAAAAAAAAAAUGAUGGUAAAUAGCGCUGAAUUUCGAAGAAGGCUUCCUGCUUUAUCCUUUCUCAGUCUUUGCUGCUGCAAGGAGAAUGUCUCUCUUGGGUACCAGUGGGUCCUUCACACCUUCCCACAACACCAGUCAUUGCCCACCGUAGCAAAGAGACAGUGGCCUUCAGGUCCAGUCUUGGUCUCCAUAGACCUCAGUGACAUUGUUUCGUUCUUAUAGUAUUUGUUUAUAGGCUUCUGCACAGACAGACAGACAGACAGAAGCUCUGUAUCAUUUAAGCAAGUAAAUUCAGAGAGAGAUUUAAAGUGAUUAUGGUUAACAGGUGAUAUUUAUGGCCAAAUAAAAUCUCCAAAACUAAUGUCAGAAACACAGCGACACGAACUUGAAUAGAAAAGAGGCAUCCCGUUUUAUUGAAUGAGCAAGUGAUCAAGAGUCAAAACACCUGUCUCAAUGCCUUUGGGGAGGGGGGGAUCUCAGGCAACCCAGGCUGGCCUUGAAUUGCUAUGUAACCAGGGAUGGCCUUCUUCUGCCUCUGCCUUUCCAGUGCUGAGGUCACAGGCUUCUGCUGCCUCUCCCAGACCCUGCAUUUACUUCCAUGAGAUUAGCUACGAGAGUUGAUUUUAGACAAGUUUCUUCUGAAAAAAAUGGAGAUAAAAGCUGCUACCUCCUUACCUCAUACUGUUAUGAAAAUUAAUUGCUAUCAUGAAUGUGCCCCUGAGGCGGGGAGACUCUGUGCACUAAACAAAUAUGAAGCACAUUGAUAGUGGAUUGAAGGUGUUUGGGAAAACACUGGGUCCUGGGGCGGGGGGCUUGGUGGCGAGGGGGGAGGGAGGUUGGUGGGCACAGGACUCCACCCAGGUAUGUCAUGAGAAAACCCUUGUCCCAGAAGGAGACUGACUUAGGGACAGGAAUUCUCAGCAUACAGGGAUGCCACCACCAUUCCAGCAUAUUGGAUCCUGAUUCUUAUAUCCUGUUUGUGUGUUUCAGUCCCUGGUCUUUCCCCAAAUCAAAUGGAAAGGAAGUGUUGUUGAGAGAGAACGGAAUAAAAACGGCUUUAAGU